rnacentral:rRNA from 1 species
CCUAAGAGAUUUUUUUCAGCUCAGGACGAACGCUGGCGGCGUGCUAAUACAUGCAAGUCGAGCGGACAGAUGGGAGCUUGCUCCUGAUGUUAGCGGCGGACGGGUGAGUAACACGUGGGUAACCUGCCUGUAAGACUGGGAUAACUCCGGGAAACCGGGGCUAAUACCGGAUGGUUGUUUGAACCGCAUGGUUCAGACAUAAAAGGUGGCUUCGGCUACCACUUACAGAUGGACCCGCGGCGCAUUAGCUAGUUGGUGAGGUAACGGCUCACCAAGGCGACGAUGCGUAGCCGACCUGAGAGGGUGAUCGGCCACACUGGGACUGAGACACGGCCCAGACUCCUACGGGAGGCAGCAGUAGGGAAUCUUCCGCAAUGGACGAAAGUCUGACGGAGCAACGCCGCGUGAGUGAUGAAGGUUUUCGGAUCGUAAAGCUCUGUUGUUAGGGAAGAACAAGUGCCGUUCAAAUAGGGCGGCACCUUGACGGUACCUAACCAGAAAGCCACGGCUAACUACGUGCCAGCAGCCGCGGUAAUACGUAGGUGGCAAGCGUUGUCCGGAAUUAUUGGGCGUAAAGGGCUCGCAGGCGGUUUCUUAAGUCUGAUGUGAAAGCCCCCGGCUCAACCGGGGAGGGUCAUUGGAAACUGGGGAACUUGAGUGCAGAAGAGGAGAGUGGAAUUCCACGUGUAGCGGUGAAAUGCGUAGAGAUGUGGAGGAACACCAGUGGCGAAGGCGACUCUCUGGUCUGUAACUGACGCUGAGGAGCGAAAGCGUGGGGAGCGAACAGGAUUAGAUACCCUGGUAGUCCACGCCGUAAACGAUGAGUGCUAAGUGUUAGGGGGUUUCCGCCCCUUAGUGCUGCAGCUAACGCAUUAAGCACUCCGCCUGGGAGUACUUGAAAGGCG